GGUUUAUGAAUGCGCCGUCAUGUGACGGCGGCGGCGGCCGCCCUCCUAUUCACAAAACGGCGGCGGCCGGGGCGGGGAUCCGCGACGUCGUGUGUCCCCCCCGCCAUCCCAGCUCCGCUUCCCGACCCCCACCCCGGGCCCGGGGCUGCGCGGCGGCGGCGCGCACCGCUCCGCUCCCCCCUCCGCUCCCCGCCGCUUCCGCCUCCGACCGCCCCCGCCGGGCGCCCCGAGCCCCGGGGCCGGGGCGGGGAGCGGCGGCGGCGGCGCCCCCUCCUCCCUGCGGUGCCCCGGGGCCCCGCACCCCGGCGGGGCCGCGCCGCCCUCACGGGGGUUUUUAUGAAUGAAAGGGCCGUAUGCAAAUGAGCGCGGCCCGGGGGGAGCGCGAAAUGGCGGAUGCGCGGGCGGGCGGCGCGCACACGAACGCGCGUGUCCGCGUCCCUCCGUCCGUCCGUCCGCCCGCGGCCGGUCCGUCCGUCCCUGCGUGCACGGCGCACGGGGAUGAGCGACCCGGGGCAACAAAGGCUGCCCCCCGUUCCGUGCCCCCCAGCCGCCCGCCGCCCCCGGCCCCGCUCACUCGUCAGGGUCCUCUGUGAUCGGGCAGUCCUGGGAGAAGAAAUGUGUCUGUACCACCUAAGCACAUCACCUUGCUCUCCAGCUUUUGCAGGCUCCUCCACUGCAGCAUCCCUUUCCCACUGCAGGAACAGAAGCGGAAACUCGGAGAGAAAUCUGUGGACUGCUAGUAAUGAGAUAGAAGCAAGAGCUGAUGAAAGCUUUGAGGUCUUCUCCUCAGGGAGAAGCAGCAUGUCCUUCAGAGGUGGUACCAGAAUCUGCAGCUUUGUGGCACAACAUUACAGGAACGUUCCUGUCGCUGCUAGAGGUUUGGCCAUAACACCAGAUAAUGUGUGAGAGUGCAAGCCUGCUGCCCUCCCUCUGGCAGAUUAUUGGUGCUCUUUUGGGUGGCAAUGCUGCCUAUCCCCACACCCACUUCCCACCCAUUCCUUUGCAAAGCACAGUUUGUCACCCCCUUGGCUACGCUAAUGCAUCCCCUGCUGAGGAGUGACACUGCUGGAGCUGCUAAAUGGCCCAGCUAAUAAUACUCCCCAAUACCUCUUUCUUUUGGAAAGUUAUUCAAGGAUCCAUCUUGCAGAAUGGCAUGAUAAACAUCUUGGCAAAUCUGAGCUGGCAGCUAAAGGAAGUGUCAGAGCAGGAGUGAGCAGUUGGGGGCAAGGAAAUGGCAGGAACGUCUUCAGCUGCUGUACAAUAAAAGACCAGAUGUAAUGAUUUGACACAGUUCCACCCAUCCUAUGUCUCUUUUUCCCCCAAAGGAUGCUGAGAUUGCACAGACCUCUGACAUCCUCAAGAUUUUUCAUGCCAAAAAUGUCUGUGAUCAGCGGGAACACUGAUGUUGCUGAAGUGGAGAGUGUGGCAUUUAGCAGUUGGAUCCUACAGAAGCAGAAUAUGGGGAGAGUUAUAGCCCUGUGAAAAACCCAGGGCACAAUCGUGUAAUUAAAAAGCCAUUAUAAUGGUUAUACCUCUGAGGUGGACUGGGUAUUAAUCACUGUCUGAUUAACACUUGAGAGCUUGUCUGUGUGAUCUGGAUGUAUUUUUAUGUGUUUGUGUUGUCCAUGUGCGUAUUUACCCCGAUGGGGAGAAGUAAAUGUGUCUGAGGCUUGGAGGCUGAAGUUUUACUCGAUCUAGCUUCUUGAGUCAUUUCCUGUGGAUUUGCAGGAUUUCUUAUUUGAUCUCUGCUUUCACUGUCCUGCCAAUUUGCAGGCUGCUAAGCAAUUUAUUCUCUUAAUGAUUUCUCUCACUCACUGCACAACCCUCUUACUGUUACUUUCACCGAGGUAUUGAAUUUUAUUUUUCUAAUAUUCAGGUUACUGUGACGGUUCUUGUAAGUAGCGUGUUGGAGCUGACUGACUUUUCUGAAUGAAAAGGCUCUCUCUCAGAGGUGUGAUUUCUGUUUGUGCCUUGCGUUGUUUGUGCACAGAGCUUCUGCUCAGACACAGAAUAGCACUUCCCUGGGAUGUGAUCGUUAAGGUACCUAGAAUUAAUUAGCCUUUGGUGGCAGACCUUCAAGGCAGCAGCUCCUGCAUACUAACGAUUUGCCUGCUAUGACUGUCCUGUGUUUUAUAUUCAAAAGAAACAUUUAUUUUGCAGAGUAAUACUUCAGCUGCUGCGGAGAACCCUGUUGCUGCUUGGUUUGGAAUAAACUUCCCUGAGUGCUGUUACACUUAUUUAGGCUAUUGUGAGACCAUCCCCUCUGAACACCCACAUUCCCUUUGCUGCAAAGCUCUUUGAUCAGCCUCAGCAGGUGACAUGAUGAACAGCUGACUGACUACUUUGGCAAAACCAGUUUUUGUGGCUUGACCUCCUUUUCACACCCGGUGUCUUGCUGUGAGUACAGGGUCCUAUUCAGUGUCUGAGUGGUUAUAAUUGCAGGUUUACCCAGUCUAGACCUGGUUGUGGGAGAAACCCCCACACAGGUAUCAAUCAGGAAAGGCUUCUGGAGUUAAAUUAAGCAUUUGAAAUAUGGAAAUGCUGACAUGGCUGGGUCAGAUGUUUGAUGGUAUGUGGUACACAGGGGAAAUGAGUUGUAUGUACCCUGCCUGCCUCCUCAUUUGCUCAGCCCUUGGCUUCAGGGAUGCUCAGUGACACUGACCCACUCAGUCCUUUGCAGAUGCUUGGCCAUAUUUAAUUUCAAAGGGUGCCAGUCCACCCUCUUCUCCAGGCAGAUAUUUUCCCUUGUGUCAACAUCCUCAUAACAACUCCAGCUAGGCAAAUAUAGCACAUGGCUUAUGAGUGUCCUGGAAGGACUCAGAGGUGGAGAGUUAGAGCUAAAGAAGGCUCAUGGUUAACCCCAUGCAGCACUGAAUAGCUUUGGGAUAAGUCGCAGCACAAUGAUGAGGAAGCUGGGAGGAGAGUUUCAUGGUCCUGCAGAGAACACCUCCUUAGACAGCCACCCUCCUAGACAUUCCCAAGGAUUCCCAUGGAAAAUAAUCCUGUGCUCCUUUUAUGUUCUGGUAAUCACACACAUAUUAUGCUUCCCUGCCCAGUUCUAAGGAGAAAAGUGAUUAGUCACUCCACACAAAAACCUUUGGGGACUGUGCCUAUACUCCAGGAUGGAUGCCAGCUCCAUCUAGAAGGGAGUGAAGACUCUCAGCUCUGCUCUGUGUGUGGUUGUAAGGCCUUCCAGGUACCCACUGCCAGCUGCAUCCCCAGCACUGUUUGCUGCCAGGCUUAACAAAGCCCAGAAAUGCAAGCCCAGCUUAUGAGAGCUUCACACCUACAACACCAAAAGCACAACCUCGAUCCUGCUCACAGAACUCCCUUGUUUAAGACAGCAGAGUCUCCAGUCUCUUAGAGGAAAAAAGAAGGGCUGGUUAUUGCUGGAUGCCUGUUCUGACUUUAAAAGCUGAAAGUAAAAACAAUCCAAGAUAUGGGGCAUGCUGAAGUGGCAGCUGAAGGGCUUUUUUUGUUCCUUCUGCAGUUAAUGCCAUCGUGCUAAAAUUGCACGCAGGUGGGAGUGGGGGUUAAUUUAAGGUUUAGUGUGACCAAGAAGAAUUAUUUAGAAAAUAGCAAAUGGACAACAUUCUGAAAAAUGAGCUUCACUUCCCUAACCAGGAGUACUUGACUAAAGAGACUAUGAAGGAAACUUCCAUAUCCAUGGCAGGUAAACAUUUGCCUUUGAUUCUGUUUUUCUCUUCAAGUCCAGAAACCCCAGCAUUUACACUUAAAUGGAUGUGCUGUAAGCUAUGUUUAGGAAGAGAAUUUCAUCCGCUCCUGCACGUACUUUUACACAUGAUAAUUAUUUGACUGCAGCUUUACAAAGUAUGGCUGGAGGGAUGGUUUGAAAGGGAGGAGUUACAUGGCACUGAUGAUAACUGCCUGAUUCAGCCCCACUGAAGGCAGUAGCAGCAGGAUCAGACAAUCCAGAAGAGAUAUUUUAUUUUAAAUAGCCAAAUAGCCAAUAGCCAUUAUGGACCUUCAGUGACUUAUGGAAAAUUCCUGCCUUCUGUAUCCUCAUUUGCAAUCCUUCUGAUUUCAUGCCCUGGAGAACAUUUAUGUAUCCUGGAACCAUGUAUGUGUUCAGUGAGGACAUGAAUUUCUGCAUUUUGGCACCACUAAAACAAACAAAAAUUAAAAGAGAGCUAAAGAGCUUAUGAAGAUGACAUUUUGGUGAAUGAUGGUGUUUUUUAAUACUAUCAUUUUUGUCUUCAUCAACUAAAUCACAGAGUUUGGGCUCUUCCUUUAUUUUUUACAUUCUGCUUCUUCUCUCCCACCUGAUCUGUUCCUUCCAUACAACUGGAGUUGUAGUCCAAAACUCAUGGAGAGGUGAAAGAACUGCUCUAUAACCACAUAGUCUGGAUGCAAUACCUUGCACAUAACUGCUUCUCUUUGUGCCAAAGACAUUACCACAGUACCAGUAUUUAAUUUGUUACCACACAAAAUGCUCUGAAUAGCUGUGACAUUGAAACACUUCCUAUAAAUUGGUUCCUACUCAGCUCUAAAGUUGGGUCUUCUCUUUGAUGUUUUUCAGUCUAAGAAAGUAACAUAUGUGAAAGCUCUCCCACAAGGCUUGAUCACAAUCUUGUGAGAUGGCAGUCUAAAUUUUGGGCUCUCUGUGGCUUGCAGGCAAAGCAGGUCAAGCCUUUUUUUUCUUGAUAGAAACAGGGAUGGCUGUCUAUAAAAUCCUCAGAGGGUGGAAAGCAGAGAUAAUUUCCACCUUCCUGUGGCAAGGUCAGUUCUUUCCCCUCUGCAGAUGGACUUACCCUAGUACCAGGAUGGGCAAGGCAACUUCUGAGAAAGGUCUCCAGAGGCUGUUGCCUUGUGCUUUCCAAGGAAUGCAAGCAGCAGUAAGGACUUUGUGUCACUACCAUUUAGCUGCCCCCAAAAUCACAGCCAGAGCUUUCUUUGAUCAUAAUGUCUCCUACUGCAGGAAGCUGUGGAAACUCCACAGUAACUUGGAUGCACACAGCUACCCCAAAAGGGGCUUUGACCUUUUAACAAUGGCACUCAAUUAUACAGUAUUUUCUUAUAUUUAUUUUUCAAGUAUUGAGGUGGAGAUAAUCACUGAGAAACAUGAGAUCUUGAAAAAAAGAAUUUAAAUACAAUAAAUUAUAUAUUGUGACUUUUCAUUUAGUUAGAGUAUCUGUGUAAUCAAUUUUCAUUUAUAUCCUUCACAGUCACUUGUAGGGGUGGAGGAGAGUGUUGGCCUUCCAUUACAGCAGAAGGAACUACAGCCCAAGAAGAUACCUGGAUGUUUGGAAGAGGACUCAAACUCAGGAACAUUUGGGAAUCAUUUAAGACAGGAAGACAACAUCCACUUGAGUUUAAUUCCCUGUGCUUGUUUGUUUGUGUCUAGUUGCUUGGCUGUGAGUGGUGCAUAAAUCACUUGAGACCCUCCAUUCCUCCAUAAUUUACUGUUGGAAAGGACAGAAAUAAAUUUUAACAUAUUUGUGA